rnacentral:rRNA from 1 species
CGCGUAGGCGGUUUGUUAAGUCAGCUGUGAAAGCCCCGGGCUCAACCUGGGAAUUGCAGUUGAUACUGGCCGACUAGAGUACGAGAGAGGGAGGUAGAAUUCCACGUGUAGCGGUGAAAUGCGUAGAUAUGUGGAGGAAUACCGGUGGCGAAGGCGGCCUCCUGGCUCGAUACUGACGCUGAGGUGCGAAAGCGUGGGGAGCAAACA